GAUGAACGCUGGCGGCGCGCCUAACACAUGCAAGUCGAACGGCGUGGCGCACGGCUGAUUAACACGUGGGCAACCUGCCCUCCUCUUUGGGCUAGCCUCGGGAAACCGAGAUAAUACCAGAUAGAUAAGGAUGGUACGCGGCUUGUUAGCUUGUUGGUGGGGGAGAGGCCUACCAAGGGCAUGAUGGGUAGCUGGGGUGAGAGACCGACCAGCCAGAUUGGGACUGAGACACGGCGCAGACUCCUACGGGAGGCAGCAGUGGGGAAUCUUGCACAAUGGGCGAAAGCCUGAUGCAGCGACGCCGCGUGCGGGACGAAGGCCUUCGGGUUGUAAACCGCUUUCAGCAGGGACGCGGUACCUGCAGAAGAAACCCCGGCUAACUACGUGCCAGCAGCCGCGGUAAUUC
rnacentral:rRNA from 1 species